GGCGCUAUAGCCAAGUGGUUACGGCGACAGAUUAGAACUGGUUCGAGUUACAAGGCUCCAACCUGCUAUCUGUUCCUCUUUGAGGGCGCAGGUUCGAAUCCUGCUGGCGUCG
rfam:Fomitopsis pinicola FP-58527 SS1 unplaced genomic scaffold FOMPIscaffold_7, whole genome shotgun sequence.